GCCAGACUCCUACGGGAGGCAGCAGUGGGGGAUAUUGCACAAUGGGGGAAACCCUGAUGCAGCGACGCCGCGUGAGUGAAGAAGUAUUUCGGUAUGUAAAGCUCUAUCAGCAGGGAAGAAAAAAGACGGUACCUGACUAAGAAGCCCCGGCUAACUACGUGCCAGCAGCCGCGGUAAUACGUAGGGGGCAAGCGUUAUCCGGAUUUACUGGGUGUAAAGGGAGCGUAGACGGCAAUACAAGUCGGAAGUGAAAUACCCGGGCUUAACCUGGGAACUGCUUUGGAAACUGUAUGGCUGGAGUGCUGGAGAGGUAAGCGGAAUUCCUAGUGUAGCGGUGAAAUGCGUAGAUAUUAGGAGGAACACCAGUGGCGAAGGCGGCUUACUGGACAGUAACUGACGUUGAGGCUCGAAAGCGUGGGGAGCAAACAGGAUUAGAUACCCUCGUAA
rnacentral:rRNA from 1 species